GAUGAACGCUGGCGGCGUGCCUAAUACAUGCCAGUCGAGCGAACAGACGAGGAGCUUGCUCCUCUGACGUUAGCGGCGGACGGGUGAGUAACACGUGGAUAACCUACCUAUAAGACUGGGAUAACUUCGGGAAACCGGAGCUAAUACCGGAUAAUAUAUUGAACCGCAUGGUUCAAUAGUGAAAGACGGUUUUGCUGUCACUUAUAGAUGGAUCCGCGCCGCAUUAGCUGGUUGGUAAGGUAACGGCUUACCAAGGCAACGAUGCGUAGCCGACCUGAGAGGGUGAUCGGCCACACGGGAACUGAGACACGGUCCAGACUCCUACGGGAGGCAGCAGUAGGGAAUCUUCCGCAAUGGGCGAAAGCCUGACGGAGCAGCGCCGCGUGAGUGAUGAAGGUCUUCGGAUCGUAAAACUCUGUUAUUAGGGAAGAACAAAUGUGUAAGUAACUAUGCACGUCUUGACGGUACCUAAUCAGAAAGCCACGGCUAACUACGUG
rnacentral:rRNA from 1 species